AGCCGCGAGGGCGACGCGCGGACUUUCUCUUCGGCCGACGCCAUCUUUGUGAGAGGACUUCCCCCUUUCCGAGAUGAGGGCUAAGUGGAGGAAGAAGCGAAUGCGCAGACUGAAGCGCAAAAGGCGAAAGAUGAGGCAGAGGUGCCGUUAGAUGUUCCUCUGGGAGUUGCCAAUGAGACCGGCGAUGGCAGGCGAGGGAACUGGGCUGUCAGCACGUUUAUCUGCCUGAGACACAACUCGUUCCCCCCCCGAAGACCAGACUGUUCAAUCCACGUUUAUUGGAUUCCGAUGUUUGUCGGCUAACCUUUGUGUUCUCCACAGCCCACACUGAACUCUUUGUCAUUUGCCUGUUGAGGUUUUAGUUCUACAAUAAAAUUCUUUUGAAGUAA